UGGGGAAUAACUUCGGGAAACCGAGGCUAAUACCGCAUAAUACCCACGGGUCAAAGGAGCAAUUCGCUUGAGGAGAGGUCGCGGCCCGAUUAGUAGUUGCGGGGUAAUGGCCCCACCAAGACGGUGAUCGGUAUCCGGCCUGAGAGGGCGCACGGACACACUGGAACUGAAACACGGUCCAGACUCCUACGGGAGGCAGCAGUGGGGAAUUUUGCGCAAUGGGGGAAACCCUGACGCAGCAACGCCGCGUGGAGGAUGAAGUCUCUUGGGACGUAAACUCCUUUCGAUCGGGACGAUUAUGACGGUACCGGAAGAAGAACGCCCCGGCUAACUUCGUG
rnacentral:rRNA from 1 species